UACGUAGGGUGCGAGCGUUGUCCGGAAUUAUUGGGCGUAAAGAGCUUGUAGGCGGUUUGGUAGGUCCGUUGUGAAAACUCGAGGCUCAACCUCGAGACGCCGAUGGAAACCAUCAGACUAGAGUCCGGAAGAGGAGAGUGGAAUUCCUGGUGUAGCGGUGAAAUGCGCAGAUAUCAGGAAGAACACCCGUGGCUAAGGCGGCUCUCUAGUACGGUACUGACGCUGAGACGCGAAAGCGUGGGGAGCGAACAGG
rnacentral:rRNA from 1 species